UAAUGUGGCCAAACCUCUUUGUCAAAGCCUGAUCUCGUCAGACCCCAGAAGCUAAACAAGGCAGGGUCUGGUUAGUACUUGGAUGGGACACCGCUGGGAAUACCAGGUGCCACAGUGG
ensembl:rRNA 5S_rRNA 5S ribosomal RNA